rnacentral:rRNA from 1 species
GCGAGGGCUGUCGCUGAUCUUCAAAGGUCGUGCACGCCCGAGUGCUUUCACACAAUCCAUCUAACCCCUUUGUGCAUCACCGCGUGGGUCCCCCUUUGCGGGAGGGCUUGCGUUUUCACAUAAAACUUGAUACAGUGUAGAAUGUCCUUUUGCGCUCACACGCAAAUCAAUACAACUUUCAACAACGGAUCUCUUGGCUCUCGCAUCGAUGAAGAACGCAGCGAAAUGCGAUACGUAAUGUGAAUUGCAGAAUUCAGUGAAUCAUCGAAUCUUUGAACGCACCUUGCGCCCCUUGGCAUUCCGAGGGGCACACCCGUUUGAGUGUCGUGAAAUAUUCAAAAACUCUUUUCUUGUUGAGAAAGGGAUUUUUGGACUUGGAGGUUUCAAUGCUUGCAUUCAUUUUUGAAAGUGAGCUCCUCUCAAAUCAAUUAGUGGGAUCCGCUCUGCUGAUCUUUAACGUGAUAAGAUGUUUCUACGUUUUGGAUUUGGCACUGUCCCUUUGGAUGCCUGCU